rnacentral:rRNA from 1 species
GGGUCAGUAGGUUGGUCGUGCCACCGGUACGUACUGGUCUCACUGAUUCCUCCUUCCUGAAGAACCGUAAUGCCAUUAAUUUGGUGUUGCGGGGAAACAGGACUGUUACUUUGAAAAAAUUAGAGUGUUUAAAGCAAGCAAACGCUUGAAUACAUUAGCAUGGAAUAAUGAAAUAGGACGAUCGAUCCUAUUUUGUUGGUCUCUAGGAUUGACGUA